GGCGGAUGUAGCCAAGUGGAUCAAGGGGGUGGAUUGUGA
rnacentral:tRNA from 1 species